CCGAGAACACAUUUGGCGUUGUAAACACCAAGUCAACAAAUCAAUCGUACAUUUCAUUACAAUAUAAACUACAGCAGUUACAUAAUUCUGUUGCGUGACGUGGUAAAGUUCAUUUCAAGCGGUGAUACCCAAUAUGAAUUGGUUCCAUUGUUCAGAGAUGAAGACAAACAGUUAAUCACUUCUCUAAAUCACUGCCAUUGUUAUCAAUUCGAAGAUUUUUGUCACUUUUGUGUGUUGCAUCAGUGUGUAUACCAAAAAAGGGGGUUAAAUUCUCGUUCUGUUUUCGUUCGAACCAAUUAAAUUUAAGUUUCAAUAUUAUUCAUUUUUAAACUAAAUCGAAUGUGUGUUUUUUUUCUUUCAGUAGGAAAAUGGCGAAUCGUUUCAAGCCAUCCAUUCCAGCGAAGGGAGAAACGAAGGACGAAGAAAUUACGACGAUCAAAUCUGUAAGCAUUGAUGAGCAAGAUGUAUGCAUCGAUUCGAAAACAAGAGAAAAGACGCCAGAUUCAAGAGAUGCCGUUGCGUACCCGACGCCAAAACAUUGCUGCCAAAAAAAUUGUGUCAAAUGAUGUCUACUCGCUGUGUGUUACAUUUCCUGAGCCGAUGGUCGAUGAGCUGUACAAUGAAAUGAAGUAAUUGCUGGAGUCACAGUGCAUAAUUUGCUUGCAAAAAAAGUUGCACCAUCGGAAAAUGACAAUGCAAACGAUACGUUGCUGCAGCAUUACUAUGCCGCUUGGAUUGAAUACAGUGAGGGUGUGGAAUACCUAAAUUUUUUGUACAUGUAUUUGAAUCAGCAGCAUAUUAAACGUAACGAACACACGGCCGAAGUGGAGUUCACGUACGGUCAAUUGGGUACUGAAAAUCAAGAGCUCAACGAAAUCGGCGAAUUGGAACUGGAUGUUUGGUGCAGCGCCUGUCCGAACGGGAGUGCUGGGAGUGCGGCGCACCAGGGCGCGGAGGCGCCGAAGGCGCCCGAGCGCCUAUUGAAGAAACAUCUUUUUAACAAACGCGAGCCCUUCGGCGCUCGAGCGCUUUGUGUUAGGAAUUGCUUUGAAAAAAAGGGCGCGUGAGAGCGCCGAAGGCGCUCGAGCGCUUUAUUUUGGGAGUGUUUUUUAGAAAAAGGCGCGCGAGGGCGAAGGGAGCUGUUUUUCGAAAAAUAUAUUUUCAGCAGACCGCUCCAUAUAAAAAAUAUUAAUUAGCAAUGCAUUUCUUCGAGAACAAUAUGAAUACACUCUCUAUUAUAUUUUGUGUUCUGUUUAUCAAGUGAGUAGCAAUAUGAACAGAGCGGAGUCACUGAGUUUUAUCACGGUAAAUUUAUUUAUUUAUUCAUUUAACACCGCCAAAAACUGGCUGAAUAUUUUGGUUUGCAGGAAAACGACUCCAAGAGUCGUGAAAAACCUGAUCUUUUUGUGUUUGUACAAUAUAUGGUAAUUUUAUACAAUAAGUAGUUGUAAGUAAUAGUCUUUUUCUAUUGGUAUAACAACUUGGUCUAAAAAGCAUUGA